GUCUUUCCGCACUGACGCAUGCGCCUGAGCACACUCCGGAGCCCCUGCACCGACUUGUCCUGAGGCUAACUGAAUUGCUGGUGGUGGCACGAGAUGGGGUAAACAGGUUCUGGCCAGCGUGGCGCGCCCCACCGCACCCCUGCGCCCAAUCCAAGGUGGCCAUGAGGUCCAAGCCUGGGGAUCCCGGACUCCACUGUUUUCUGCAGAUCUCGUGAUAGCGUACUUAAAAAUCAUGAAACAGCCGAGGCGUGCAGCCCAGAAGACACCGCGCUGCUGCAGGAAGGACGUUCUCCGAGUGGUAGAGGAAUCCGCAGUGACCCACAUAUCUGCCUGCUAAGGUUGCUGCCUGCACGCUCAUCCGCAGAGCUUGACUCAUCUGCGCCUGCGAUGAUGCUGCCGAGGCUAGCGAUGCUGCCGGCUUCCUUAGACUGAUUGCUAAGAGUGGGCAAGGGCCGAGCUCUCCAGAUUAUGUAACAAGGUAUUUUGCCCAAAACGCACACUAUAUUUAGAAAUAUUCAAAUGUGGCGGCGUCACCGUCCACAGGACGCACUGGGUAGUUCACAGCCUCGGUUCUGCAGCCAGAGCCUGGUGCCCUCAAUUCUCGCUGGGCAUCCUGUCAUCUUGGUCUGAUCUAUUCCAACGGAGGAGGACAGACCAUCCCCUGGAGGGGUUUCAGAUGACCUUGGGACGGUCCACUCCCACUGGAGGCGUGCGGUCUGACUGUGCGCCAGUGCCGGCUCCAGGGGCCAGCCUGUUUCCCCAGUCAUAUUAAGGUGGAGUCACGGGAGAACCCUACACCGUGCUGAUAGUCAUUUUACCGUUCAAAAGAACACUUUUCACAAGGUGUGGUGUCACAUGCUGUUAAUCCUAGAAUUCAGGAGGCAGAUCUCUUUUGAGUUGAGGCCAGCCUGGUCUACAUAGCAAGUUCCAGGGCUCAAAAGAAAGUAACAGCCUAAUUUAUAAACCAUGACUAAAUAAUUCAAAAUCACUAUUUGUCUCUACAGUAUAUUUACCCUAAAAUACCUUUCCUGAUGUGUGGAUUCUUUUAUAUUCUCAGUCCCACCAAGAGGCCCACUAUGCAGUGAUUUAAAUACACACACACACACACACACACACACACACACACAGAGCCUGCAACAUAAUUUCAUUUAAAUUUAAAAAGCUGUAACACUUUUGAAAUAAAUCAAAGGGAAGUGGUGUUAAAUCAGGCUGACAUGAAGGAGGGAACCAUGCUGGGUUAAAAAGUCACUGGUGAGUUUUGUUUUGUUUGUUUUGUUUAUGCAGGGCUGGGACUUGAACCCAGGGCCUCAGGCAUGUCAGGCAAGCACCCCACUGCUGACCUACUCCUUCAGCCUGUACAUUCUUGAUUAUGAGCAGGGGCGGGCAUGACAGCCCAGAAAGAGUUUACCUGGGAACUCGGACAUCCAGUCUAAUCCACAAACCCAGUCACGUCCACCUUCCAGCCUUAUGUAACUUACUGAGCUACACGGGUUGUGUGUCUCAGAGGAGGGCCUUCUGCUGCCUGAAGAUGCAGCCUGGCCCCCGAACAGGAGGAGGGAUGCCUGACUGACAGCCUGGGGAUCUACUUAAUUCUGCUACUGUGGGCCCAAGCAGUGGCAUGAAGGGGUUUUAACCACGCGCUACAUGUAGGACCUGAGAUGAUGAGAGGAUGCGAUUUCCAUCCUGACCAUCUGACCUUGGUCUGUGACCGAGGAAGAGCAUCUUCACUAGCUGCCCGUGAACAGAAGGGACGCAGGUGAGUGUGACUUGGGUCCAGCGUGUGACCCACACUCACCGUUGUGCUCAGGGAGUGCAUGCGCAAUCAGGAAGUUGGGUCUUCCACUCUUCAGCGACCAAACAAGAUGAUAAAUUAGACCCACGAGUCCCAAGUCCUUUUAACCCUUUCCUCCCCACACCAGGAAUCUAGUCACUGAACUGCAGAACUGGAUGCAGUCACUGGUCUUUAUCUUUGGAGGGUGUUCCCUUAAGAUUUUUCAGUGACUUCUGCAAGGGACACUGUGCCCCUAAAAAAUAAAAUAAAAUAAAUGAGCAUUUCCAAGAAAACCAAACUUGACCUUAGUCUACUUCUUGUUAUUAGAGUCAUGUUUGCUGUUUUUGAAAAAUGCAUUCAGUGUGCUAAAUGAAAGAAAUUAAAAAUGUACAGAACAGCCUCCUCCCAAGCCACAGGCCGACCCCUCCCCAGAGUCUGCUGUGUGUCAUAGCCUUGAAGUCU